rnacentral:lncRNA from 1 species
CGGAGCCCAGGGCGGGAAGGGGGCUGGGGCCCUCUGGGGCCACCUCUGCGGGCUCCACAGCCUCUCAAAGGAGCAUCUCAGGCUUCCCCUCCCCUUAGACCUGCUUCUGAUCGGCCUGCCAGGCCCUUAUCUGUGUGGAGGGACAGGCCGCUUGCUGAGAAGCCUGGAGGUGUGGACUGGCUGGCCGCUGCCCUGGUGUGAAGGGGUGUCCCCGAAGGUCAGGACGUCUUCACUGAGCAAUGCUGCUGGAUCCUUAACCCACUGAGCAAAGCCAGGGAUCAAACCCACAUCCUCAUGGAUGCAAGUCAGAUUUGUUUCUGCUGUGCUGCAGUGGGAACUCCCAUCCUCUUACUCUGCUUAGACUUAGCCAGAGAACUUCCUGGUGGUGGGGGCUGGUUAAAGAAGGAUUCCUUCAGCACCUGAACCCUGGGCUCUCCUGGGAUGGGAUGCCCUGCAUCUAGGAUUAGCGAGGUUUAAGGGACUUGCUCAAAGCUCUGCGAGAACUGAGGGCCGGUGGUGAGACCAGAACCAAGAUUAUCUGAUUGUUCCCAGGUCACAACCCUUUUCAACUCAUCGGACUGGUUGCUCCCCCUGAAUGCACCUUAUUUUCCCCUCAAAGGCUGUGUGCAAAGACUAUGGAAUGCUUGCUGGCCUCUCCUUGGUGGGAAGGGGGUGAUGAGGGAGUUUAAACCUUAGAGCCCCAUUCACUGUUGUUCAGCCUUGGAAGUGGGACAGACCUUCAAGAAGAGAGACUCAGUCACCUUGAAGGUGACCCUUUAUUUUUUUUUUGGAUAUUUUAUUUUAUUAUUUUAUUUAUUUAUUUAUUCUUCCAGUUGUAUUGAGUUAUAAUUGACAUACCUUAGUUUUUUUUUUUUAAUUGACAUACCUUAAAUAGCAUUAUGCUCUUCACCUUAAACUGCAAAAGUUUAAGGUGAACAGCAUAAUGAUUUGACUUACACACAUCAUGAAAUGAUUACCCCAAUAGUUUCAAUGAGCAUCUAUCAUCUCAUAUAGAUACAAAAUGAAAAAAAAAAAAAUCUUUUCCCUGAGUUCCCAUUAGUGGAGCGGAAACGAAUCUGACUAGGAUCUGGGAAGAUACGGGUUUGACCUCUGGUCUCACUCAGUGGGUCAGGGAUCUGGCCUUGCUGCGGCCGUGGUGUAGCCCGGCAGCUGAAGCUCUGAUUUGACCCGCUAGCCUGGGAACUUCCAUAUGCUAGAGGCGUGGCCCUAAAAAAGAAAAAAAAAAAUCUUUUUCUUUGUGAGAACUUUGAGAUUUACUCUCUUAACUUUCCCGCAUAGCAUAGAGCUGUGUUAAUUAUAAUUCAUCUUGUUUUACUUUACAUCCCUAGCGCUUAUUUAUCUUAUCACUGAAAGUUUGUAACUUUGGACCACAAGGUGAGCUUUGAUGAACACUAUAUCCAAAUGUUGGCAGAUGGCUUAGAAACGUAGAGUUCUGUUGAUCUGGUCAUGACCGAUUUUCUGGAUCACAUAAUCCCAUGCGAUAAAUGAUUCUUUGGGUCCAUGUCUGCAUAGCAUUUUAUAGUGAAAUACCAUGUAAAAUAGCACUUGCAUCUGAGGAGACACAUUUGUACUUAUUCACUACCUGUGUAUGGUUCUUAAUGUUGCCUGUAUAUUGAUCUUGGUUUGCUGUUCAGAUGAUAACUUUCUUGACUGCAAGAACUAUUCCUUAAAUUCCUUUGUAAUUCUGCAAUACCUAGCAAUGCUGGACGUUACGAUUUUUGUAGUGUCAAGUGCUAGAUUGUGUUGCAGAGUAGAUGCUACUACACAAACAUGAAUUAAAUCAAUUAUAAAC